UUGGAAUUUCAGAAGCACGUGGCCGCGGCAUCUAUUGUUCUAAUGGGAGAGCUUUAGAGGUGUUACGUUGAAAUAAACUGCGGCUUUGAAAAUUUGAAAGAAAUGAAGAUCGAUAGGCUUAACUUUUAAGACUUAGUAACCGUGAGGAAAGAAAGGACGUAACUAGCUCCAGCCUAAUCCUAGUGCCAUUUCAUUCAGACGGGUUUGAAAGAGAUACUUACUUUACUUGAGGAUUAUGGCUUCUGUUCUCAGUGUUAGAUUGCACCGGAUUGGGACCCAAGCUUAGCCGAUGAAUAACCGACUAUUACCGCAAAGUUGAUCUUGACUAACGGAGAUAGUUUUGUGAAGUAAUGAUGAAAGAAAGGAUCGAUCCAAAGCCACCGUAGAGAAAACUCUAUUACGAAAUCACUUUUCCCCAGGCUCUCCUCCAAACAUCGAACGCUCACAUGACAUUGACCAAAGUUCAAGUUUUGCUUCGUUCAUGUACAAGUCUAAAGCCAUGGAUAAACCUGACGGUCCUGACGAACUCAGCCGUGACAUCUUGCAAGAACUCAGGGAAGCUGAGGAGAGAAUUGUCAGGGGAGAACUCUACCCUAACUCUCAGGAAGCCUUGGAAUUUUUGGGCAAAGCUAAAGAGGCAUUGAGGUUUGCCUUAUACGUGCUGGAUAUCAAGGAAAGGAAAAUUCCACCUGAACCAGAUCCUCAACCUAAAAAAAGGAAAAAGACCGACUAAAAAAAACAUGAUUAACAAAGUGCAUCUUAGAUGGCUUCGCUGCAAGAAAUAUUUACUUAGUCUUAUUAUUUAGUUGUUUAAAAUGCUUUAUUUGUGUUCGAGCUGUAGGUUAGUGGCAGAAGUGAUUUUAGUAGUAUUUGCUGCUAUGAUUUUUAGAGAAUGUACUUAUGACCAGCUUUUGGCUGUGAUUUUUCUGUACUGAUUUUUCUAUUAAGUAUGGCUGAACUGAAAAGUAAUGUUUUUUUCAGUCUUGCAAACUGUAAGUUAGUUGCUUAAGUGCUUUUAGUAGUAUUUGCUGCCAUGAUGUUAGAGAAUGUACUGAUGACCAGCUUUUGGCUGUGAUUUUUCUGUACUGAUUUUUCUAUUAACCAUGGCUGAGCUGAAAAGUAAUGUUUUUUUCAGUCUCAUAAACUGUAAGUUAGUUGCUUAAGUGCUUUUAGUAGUAUUUGCUGUCAUGAUGUUUGAGAAUGUACUUAUGACCAGCUUUUGGCUGUGAUUUUUCUGUACUGAUUCAAUAAAAUAUGGCUUUGCUUUGAAAUUA